UUACUUGAUAGUAGAUUUAACAGUUGUUUAUUGUACAGAUUAUGUUCGGCCUCUGCAGAAAGAUGAGGCGGGGUACGGAGGAGAGAGCUGACGACAAGCUGGUCACUACUGAGAAGAAGUCAGAAGAAAGAGCUCCUUCCGCUGACGAGGCCUUAGAAGGCGCUGUGGAAGAGGCAGCCGGGGUGCGGGAGGGGUCUGUGGAAGAGGCAGCGACACAGCUGAAGGAUAUAGACUUCAGUGACUGGCUGAAUGAGCACCUGUGUGAAUUGGACCUGACACACGAGCAGGCGGAGGAGAAGAGUGUAGGGGAGUGGACGGAAAUACGCCUCUUCCUCAGCUCCACCUUUAUUGACACACAGGCGGAGCGGGAUGAGAUUAUUAAAACUAUAAUCCCGGAGAUAAACCGGAAGAUGGCCCCUAACUUUAUAAGGAUAAUCCCAGUAGAUUUAAGAUGGGGCGUGCUGGCUGAGGAAUGUAAGAGCUGCUAUGAUAUUCAGAAGACUUGUCUGAAUCAGAUAGACAACUGCAGGAUGUCGGAGAAACAGAGCCCCUGGUUCCUGGGGCUCAGAACCUCUCGAUACGGCUGGCUCCAAAACGAGGUAAUGCCCAGUCAAGGUUUCGAGACUCCUCAGAACUACGGCUGGAUAGACAAGUUGAGUGGGACAGAGAAAGCAGUGAGCAUCACUUCUCUGGAGGUGUGCCAUGCUUCUCGUGUCCCGGAGACUCUACCCCCCUACCCGACUGUGUUCUUCUAUCACCGUCAGUUCACCCCUGCAGCACAGGAGAAGCUGAGUGGGGACGAGCUGAGGUGGGUGUUUGAUUUCGAGUACACAGCUGAAGAAGUUCUGGAUCCCGAACUGAAACAUCAGUACACUCUUAUUGACAAGGCUGGAGCCUAUGCUAAGGAUAAAGACGAGCUAGAUGACUUCCUGAAAGACCAGUCUCACAUGUUGUACUCUGAUUAUAGUGCUGAUUAUAAACAAGCUUACUACACCAACAAAAGGGAGAAUGCUAAGAGCUUCGGGGUCGGCUACACCGACAACUUGGGCGAGUUCGCGCAAAAAGUUGAGCGAGAUCUGUUGACGGCUAUAAAAAUGAACUUCAUUGUGCCUGAUGCAAGCAACCUUGACGGUUAUCUUUUUGACACAAUUCAGCAUGAGAAUGCCAUUAAAUUAAAAGCAUCAACAUUUGUUGGGAGGACAGAAAUGGCAGAGGAGACGUUUGAACACACUAAAAGUACUGAAGGUGAACACACGCUGAUACUGCACGGGGAUCCAGGUUGUGGUAAGUCAGGGUUACUGGCUGCUGUGGCUCAACGCACUAUCGACUGUAAAGGUAAAGACGAUUUCGUGUUCGUGCAUGCAGUUGAUUCCUGCCCGGGCUCCAAUCUGCUAGAGAAGUUUCUCAGGAGACUACAUGUAAAUUUAAGAACUUUCAGACGAGAGCGCGGGGAGAUCAACAUAUCAUCUGAUCCGCCAGAAUCCAUUACUGACCUGAAGCAAGAGCAUCACUCCUUCAUCAUGAGCACAGCAGAGCAGUAUCCAGGGAGUAAGUUUGUAAUAAUUGUAGACGCUGUGAACCAGUUCCAUAACAGUCUGGGAGCAUGGGACAUGUGGUGGAUGAUUAGAGACGAGGGGGCCCCCAACUUGAGGUUUAUUAUAUCCACCCUUACGGAGGAAAACAACACUUACAAGAACGCUAUGAUAUCAUGCAAACACUCACGGUCACUUGAAGUCUCACAAAUGUCCCAAGAAGAUCUGGUAGACAUGGUGAACAGAACACUGGAGAGGUACAACAAAAAGCUCACUAAUUACGACGACAGACUGCUGGGAAACCAGAUUGAAGUUCUCCUCUCUAAAAGCUCAUCUCCUCUGUUUCUCAUUGCAGCCUGCGAGGCUCUCAGAAAAUUCGGGAUCUUUGAGAAGGUUUCAGAGUACAUAGCUUCCUUCCCUGACAGAAUAACAGGACUGUUUAGUUUCCUGGUAGACGAGUGGUCGGGGGAGUACGGUAAGGAUUUCACAGAGGACGUGUGUGGACUGAUAUGUCUGUCUAAAGACGGACUGCUGGAGAACCAGAUUAAUGACCUACUGAGGUUCAAAGAGGAGAUGGUUCAGGGAGAGAAAGGAGGUUUCCUGUAUGACUCUUCUUUCUCCAGGAUAUACGACUCUGUCAGUAGUUUUCUAGCGGCCGGGGGUGGGGGUUACCUCAGGUUCUUCCACGACCAGCUUAAAUACACUAUCAGGGAUAAGUUUCUGGACGAUACAUUCUCCCAAAACACCCACCAGUGGUUCUGUGACUUCUUCAUGGCGAUCAUCCAGCCCCAACUCUGCAGCCAACCUCAGGCGAAAACUCCAGAUUAUUACGAGCACGUUCUCAACCAAAUUGUGCAUCACCAACUAGAGGUGGCAAGGGUUACUCAGUCUUUUGAAACUUUCAAACUCACGCUGAGGAAUAUCUACUUUGUAAGAGAGCGGAUCCAGUUUAACCAGCAUAACAAUCUUAACAAUGAGUACCUAGCAGCAAUAGAAGCUGCUCCACUAGACAAGGCAGCCUUUAAACUGUGGGCUAAGUUUGUUCAGCUUUACACACCAGCUAUCAAGGAGUUUCCUCAGUUCGCGUACAACAUGGCCACUAACCAGGCCCCUAGCUCUGUAGUAAGUCAGGACACUCUGCUCCUGUCUGCUCCGGAGCCUCAGGUUGGUUACCCCCUCUCCUGGGCUAACAUUCCUGCUGCUGAUGACCCUAUUUCCGUGAAGAUACCCUCUUUAGGGGUCGACUGUGUAGCCUCUUCGGUAGCAAAAGAUGUUGUUGUGAUAGCAGCUAAAUCCCACGCUGGUAUAUACGACUUAUCAAGUGGGGAGACGCUACACAAACUACCAGUGAGUGCCUACUCAGUCCACCUAGCAGAAGGGGAGGAGACCCUGUUUGUGGGAGAUGGGGAGGGAGUAGUACACUCUUACGAUGUGGACUCCGGGGCCCACAAGUGCAGCAGUGAGGCGGGAGAGGGCUGUAUUACCUGGCUUGGAACUGACAGAGCGGGGCUGGUUAUCGCAGGGCCCGGGUACUCCAGGAAAGCAAUAUCUUGGGACGGCCACACCUCAGUCGGUAAAUACAUGGUGCUGGAUCCAGAGGACCUGAGUCUAGUGAGGAGCUGGGGGUGCGAGGACCCUUCCUUCCAUCACUCCUACAACACAGCUACCCACAAACUCAUCAGCUCACACAAAGGAUUCCUUGCUGUGUGGGACCCUGACUCCGGGGAGAAACUCUUCACUGGAUCAGAUGACAGUGGGUGUAUUUAUUGUGUAGACAGUCACCUGACAGAGCGUCUAGUUAUAUCAGGUAACAAUGAGUUGCAGGUAGUUGAGUGGGAGCUAACAGAGCAGGGUCUGCAGAUACUAAGGAAGGUGGAGCUGCCCUGUAUCAGUGGCUGGGCGUAUGGGGGAGUGUGGAGUGUGAAGUACAGUGUGGACGGGGAUCUGAUCUACUGUACUGAGCCACAGUCUCAGAGCAUCAAGAUCUACAACAAGGAAAGUGAAAAGGUUGGGGAACUGAAGGGACACUCUGAUUGUGUAAUGAAGAUCUCCACAGUGCCGGGGGAAAGUAGAGAGAUCCUCUCCUCUGAUAGAGACAGUGUUAGUUUUAUAUGGAGCCUGCCCUCCUCUGGAGAUGUAGACGCUUGUAAACAGGAACUUGAUGAGAAGGUGCAGUGGGUAGGGUUCAGUGUAGGGGAGGAACUGUUCGCUACAGUCACAGACAACCGAUGCAGACUGUGGGACUCCGUGGAUCUCAAGGUGGUUAGGUCUGUAAAAUUUGGGGGUUUCUACAGGUCUAAAGGAGCAUUUCAUCCUGAUGGGGAGUGUCUGUUUUUAAACUCUAGAAUGGGAGUUCUCGUCUACAACCUCCAGCUGCAACUACUGGAAUCUUAUCAGGUGCUAAAGAGUGAGGAUGGUUCCACCACUGAUCUGAAGAUAACACCUGAUGGCAGCAAGUUCCUAGUGACAGAGUGUAGGAACAGUAACAGUGAGCUGAGCAAGGCUUUUGUGUGGAACUGCUCCGAUCCGAGUUCUGCUUCGGAGCAUCUUAUAAAAGAUGGUUACGGGGCGCGUAUGUUUUCGUGCGGAGUAUCUCACGACAGCAAACUUGGAAUUGUAGGAGGACACUCAGGUGCAAUGAUACUGGACCUAGAUACGGGGGAAACGAGGAUAUCUGUAGAUAGUGGGUGCUUCUUUACUGCAUUCCUACCCAACUCUUAUCAGUUCGUUGUAGAGAAUGGAAGUGGAGUGUACUUGUACUCUGAAGACGGGUAGGGGAUACAGUCACCAGCUUCUUCGGCCACCAGGCACAAGUAGAGACUGGUACUUUUCAAGAGGACCACCUGGUUACGGGGAGUAAAGACGGAACUGUCAGAUUGUUUGAUAUGAAGACAGGUGAGUGUGUUUAUGCGUUCUUCAACCACAGAUCACAGGAUAUGAAGUGUUUAGCAGUUUCUCAGACUGGUCUGCGUCUACUGCUCGCCUCCAAUUCUAAUGGAAUGCUUUACGUGCUCAAAUAUUAGAGUGUACUGCUUAGACACGUGUAGUUUUGUAGUUUUUACUUCUUCUUUACAUAUAGUGUAUUCCGCUUAUAGGGAAUUUGUUUUUACGAAUUUGUUUUUACUAUACAGUGUACAAAACCAUUAAGUUUGCAUUUUCAGAUUUUUAGAAAGCUAGUUGAUUUAUUUUAACUUAUCCGCUCGAAGGAAUUCAAAUUCAAAACCAUUGAAAAUUAAAGAUUUUUGUCAUAUUUUUGGGCGCUUUUAAUCCAAUUUGAACGAUAAUGUUUUAAUAAAUUUGUUAAUACAGCAAGCACGAAAAAUAUUUGUUAAGCAGUCAAAAUGUUGAUAUGAUUUAGUCUGAUGAAAGAAAUUGAAAUCGAAGAAAUUAUAAAGUAGU